GUGGGGCUUUCUUCUGACAUCACCCCUCAUUUGGCCAGCGUCUCCUCUGACAGACGGAACCUCACCCUUGGCCAUGGGCAUGGACUGAGCCCUACACCUCACCGCCCCAGCGCUGGGAUGCUCGGCUCCUCCUGGAGAGGUCGCAGUGGCUCAGCCGUUGGCUAGGUGCUGCCAAAGAGAUGGGAAAGGCUCACGUGUGUGAACAUGGACGGGAAGCGGGAGAGGGCCUGGCUGUGGGUCUGUCUGUGCUCCUGUGCGUUACUGCAGAGACUCACCUCUCUCCUCCCCCUCCUCCCACCCCAAAGACAGCAUCAGAGUGCAAUCUUCUGCCUGCACGCCUGGCUGCAGCCGUCACAUCCCAUAAGCGUUAGGCGGCUGCGAAGCACUUAGCCUCUACUCCCAGUGCCCUCACUUCACCAGGGAGAGCUGCGUUUCCAGCUCACAUGAAACUUCCUUGGGCUGCUGCAAUUAAAGGGACAUGCACCUCUCUCUAGCACCUGCGCUCCCCCUCCCCCAGCCCUCCUCCCACCCUCUUUGCAAACCCGGACAGCCUUUGCACCAGAACCAGAUGCAGCUGGCUCAGCUCCUCCUGCUAAUGAGCAGGGGAAGUGCGGACACAUGGCUCGGCCUGGCCCCUCCCUGCGCCACGUUCUGGGCGCAGUAAUUGAUGCACCUCCAGGUUUGUGGACAUCCCCAAGUGCCCCUGCCUGCCCGUGGCUUGUGCUCUUCACGAUCCCCCCUGCAAACCAUCCGGAGGAGGACAUGGAGCAGGACAGACCAACACAGAACCUGUGGGGGCAGCCAGGCAACCUCAGGCGGAGGGGAACACCCACAGAGCCCAUGUGGGGUUAGCAGCCCUGCAGCCUGCAAGCUUCUGCAAGGGGAUCCAUGUGCCCACCCAGCCUGCAAAGACUACAGGGACUACUGGCAAUGUGCCAUCAUGGCAUUCAGGUAAAGGAGGAUGCAGCUUGGAUCCAGACCCAGAUGGAGCUUUGCAGGCUGGGACCUGUCCCCUGUGCAGACCACAGCUCUGUAUUAGAGGUGAUGAGCCCACACCCACUCACACAGUGCCAAGUGGGUGCCAUGCUGUGCAGUCCAAAUGGGAGCGUUCUACAGCCACUUUGUUCGGGA
rnacentral:lncRNA from 1 species